rnacentral:miRNA from 1 species
UUGGAACAAGGGAAAAGUGAAGGA